UUGUAUACUAGUUUUAAAAUUUCCAAUUUUGGUGAUAUUUUAAUUUAAAAAACUUAAUUUUAAAACUAAAUCUGCACAUCUGGCAACUCUACCCAGAAACUGUAAUAAUAACAGCUCAAGAAUGAUAGAAGACCAGAUUACGACAGGCAGAAGCGUUCACGACCCACGAAUGGGAAUAGGCAACAGAAGAUUUGUCAAAUGUAAAACAGAAAUGUGAAACAUAGUGAACCAAAUUGAAUAAUGUGCAGAUAAAAUAUCACAAUGAACGUAAUUCUUAAAAUCUUCAUUUAUAAAAUGAUCCAAUAUAAUAAUGUAUAUUUAUAAUUAAAAUUAUAUGUUUUGUUACAAAAAGUUCGCCAUUUUGCCAACUUUUUUGUUGAUUGGAAAAGUGAAAAAAUUCUCUAUAGACGACUUUUUUGUACUAUUGUUGUUUGAUUCCGCCAUUGCGGACUUCUUUUUCAAGUUAAUAAAUUUUUCGCUUAGAAUUUUAAAUAAUAAUUAAGCACUAGCCUUGACUUCAGCACUUUGUUUUGGUUGUAUUGUUUUGUACCACCGUGCAAUUUUGUUUUGCUCGCGUGUUCGGGGUCGUGAAAGUUGUCUCUCAACAGGAACUCAAAAUCCAAAAAAAGCUAACUGUAAGCGCCUGUCUUAAUCUUGUCUUCUAUUAUUCUCGAUAACAGCUGAAAUUAAAGUUGUGUGAAGUAUAAUUGCAUCUAAGUUUUCCAAGCCAAAUUUUUCGAAGCUGAGUCAAGUCAAGCAUCGGUAACUGGAGCUUUACUGUCAAAAUAAUAAAAAUUGUUAUACACAAAUUUAAAAUUGAAAAUUGCAGGCGAAGAUAAAUCAAAACGUAUGACAUGGACGGCGGUGGAAACCAAGGGGCUACUAAAAUGCUACUUUGUCCAAGCAGUUGAAGAAGACGCUCCAAACAAAUUAGUAAGCUGCCGUAAAGUGACGGUGUUAUUCAGGUGGUACAAUUUCUCAUCCACCAGUAUUUGUUUUGGGCUCAAUGCUAUUUGUAUAUUUCUCU